UACAGAGGGGGCAAGCGUUGUUCGGAAUUACUGGGCGUAAAGGGCGCGUAGGCGGCCGCCUAAGUCAGACGUGAAAUCCCUCGGCUCAACCGGGGAACUGCGUCUGAUACUGGGUGGCUUGAAUUCGGGAGAGGGAUGCGGAAUUCCAGGUGUAGCGGUGAAAUGCGUAGAUAUCUGGAGGAACACCAAUAGCGAAGGCAGCUCGCUGGGAUGGUACUGACGCUAAGGCGCGAAAGCGUGGGGAGCGAACAGG
rnacentral:rRNA from 1 species